rnacentral:rRNA from 1 species
UUUAUGGAGAGUUUGAUCCUGGCUCAGGAUGAACGCUGGCGGCGUGCCUAAUACAUGCAAGUCGAGCGAACGGACGAGAAGCUUGCUUCUCUGAUGUUAGCGGCGGACGGGUGAGUAACACGUGGAUAACCUACCUAUAAGACUGGGAUAACUUCGGGAAACCGGAGCUAAUACCGGAUAAUAUUUUGAACCGCAUGGUUCAAAAGUGAAAGACGGUCUUGCUGUCACUUAUAGAUGGAUCCGCGCUGCAUUAGCUAGUUGGUAAGGUAACGGCUUACCAAGGCAACGAUGCAUAGCCGACCUGAGAGGGUGAUCGGCCACACUGGAACUGAGACACGGUCCAGACUCCUACGGGAGGCAGCAGUAGGGAAUCUUCCGCAAUGGGCGAAAGCCUGACGGAGCAACGCCGCGUGAGUGAUGAAGGUCUUCGGAUCGUAAAACUCUGUUAUUAGGGAAGAACAUAUGUGUAAGUAACUGUGCACAUCUUGACGGUACCUAAUCAGAAAGCCACGGCUAACUACGUGCCAGCAGCCGCGGUAAUACGUAGGUGGCAAGCGUUAUCCGGAAUUAUUGGGCGUAAAGCGCGCGUAGGCGGUUUUUUAAGUCUGAUGUGAAAGCCCACGGCUCAACCGUGGAGGGUCAUUGGAAACUGGAAAACUUGAGUGCAGAAGAGGAAAGUGGAAUUCCAUGUGUAGCGGUGAAAUGCGCAGAGAUAUGGAGGAACACCAGUGGCGAAGGCGACUUUCUGGUCUGUAACUGACGCUGAUGUGCGAAAGCGUGGGGAUCAAACAGGAUUAGAUACCCUGGUAGUCCACGCCGUAAACGAUGAGUGCUAAGUGUUAGGGGGUUUCCGCCCCUUAGUGCUGCAGCUAACGCAUUAAGCACUCCGCCUGGGGAGUACGACCGCAAGGUUGAAACUCAAAGGAAUUGACGGGGACCCGCACAAGCGGUGGAGCAUGUGGUUUAAUUCGAAGCAACGCGAAGAACCUUACCAAAUCUUGACAUCCUUUGACAACUCUAGAGAUAGAGCCUUCCCCUUCGGGGGACAAAGUGACAGGUGGUGCAUGGUUGUCGUCAGCUCGUGUCGUGAGAUGUUGGGUUAAGUCCCGCAACGAGCGCAACCCUUAAGCUUAGUUGCCAUCAUUAAGUUGGGCACUCUAAGUUGACUGCCGGUGACAAACCGGAGGAAGGUGGGGAUGACGUCAAAUCAUCAUGCCCCUUAUGAUUUGGGCUACACACGUGCUACA